AGAGCGAACGCUGGCGGCAGGCCUAACACAUGCAAGUCGAACGGACCCUUCGGGGUUAGUGGCGGACGGGUGAGUAACACGUGGGAACGUGCCUUUUGGUUCGGAAUAGCUCCUGGAAACGGGUGGUAAUGCCGAAUGUGCCCUUCGGGGGGAAAGAUUUAUCGCCAUUAGAGCGGCCCGCGUCUGAUUAGCUAGUUGGUGAGGUAAAGGCUCACCAAGGCUACGAUCAGUAGCUGGUCUGAGAGGAUGACCAGCCACAUUGGGACUGAGGCACGGCCCAAACUCCUACGGGAGGCAGCAGUGGGGAAUCUUGCGCAAUGGGCGAAAGCCUGACGCAGCCAUGCCGCGUGAAUGAUGAAGGUCUUAGGAUUGUAAAAUUCUUUCAGUAGGGACGAUAAUGACGGUACCUACAGAAGAAGACCCCGGCUAACUUCGUGCCAGCAGCCGC
rnacentral:rRNA from 1 species